ACGAACGCUGGCGGCGUGCUUAACACAUGCCAGUCGAACGGAAAGGCCCUGCUUGCAGGGUACUCGAGUGGCGAACGGGUGAGUAACACGUGGGUGAUCUGCCCUGCACUUCGGGAUAAGCCUGGGAAACUGGGUCUAAUACCGGAUAGGAGCCAUUUUUAGUGUGAUGGUUGGAAAGUUUUUUCGGUGUAGGAUGAGCUCGCGGCCUAUCAGCUUGUUGGUGGGGUAAUGGCCUACCAAGGCGGCGACGGGUAGCCGGCCUGAGAGGGUGGACGGCCACAUUGGGACUGAGAUACGGCCCAGACUCCUACGGGAGGCAGCAGGGGGGAAUAUUGCACAAUGGGCGCAAGCCUGAUGCAGCGACGCCGCGUGGGGGAUGACGGCCUUCGGGUUGUAAACUCCUUUCGCUAGGGACGAAGCUUUUUGUGACGGUACCUAGAUAAGAAGCACCGGCUAACUACGUG
rnacentral:rRNA from 1 species